rnacentral:hammerhead_ribozyme from 1 species
ACCUAGCUGAUGAGUCUCAAGUUGGACGAAACGCGCGUCUUGGAU